GCGGGAAUGGUUUAGUGGUAAAAUAGUUCCUUGCCAAGGAAUAGUCGGGGGUUCGAUUCCCCCUUCCCGCA
rnacentral:tRNA from 1 species